GACGAACGCUGGCGGCGUGCUUAACACAUGCAAGUCGAACGGAAAGGCCCUGCUUUGGUGGGGUGCUCGAGUGGCGAACGGGUGAGUAACACGUGAGUAACCUGCCCUUGACUGUGGGAUAACUUAAGGAAACUGGGGCUAAUACCGGAUAGGAGCUCCUGCUGCAUGGUGGGGGUGGGAAAGUUUCGGCGGUUGGGGAUGGACUCGCGGCUGAUUAGCUUGUUGGUGGGGUAGUGGUGUACCAAGGCUUUGACGGGUAGCCGGGCUGAGAGGGUGACCGGCCACAGUGGGACUGAGACUGGGCCCAGACUCCGACUGGUGGCAGCAGUGGCGGUGAUUGCACAAGGAGCGGAAGCGUGAGGCAGCAACGGCGCGGGCGGGAGGACGGUCUUCGGGUUGUAAACCGCUUGCGCCUGUGACGAAGAGUGUGUGAAGGGAAUGGGUAAAGUAGGACCGGCUAACUACGGG
rnacentral:rRNA from 1 species